rnacentral:rRNA from 1 species
AUUGAACGCUGGCGGCAGGCCUAACACAUGCAAGUCGAACGAGUGGCGGACGGGUGGGUAAUUUCUGGGAACCUGCCUGAUGGAGGGGGAUAACUACUGGCAACGGUAGCUACUACCGCAUAACAUCCUAUCGGCCCCGAUGGGAUUAGCUAGUAGGGGAGGUAAAUGCUCACCGAGACGACAAGCCCUAGCAGGUCUGAGAGGAUGAUCGGCCACACUGGAACUGAUACACGGUCCAGACUCCUACGGUAGGCAGCAGUGGGGAAUAUUGCACAAUGGGCGCAAGUCUGAUCCAGCAACGCCGCGUGGAUGAAGAAGGCCUUCGGGUUGUAAAGUACUUUCAGUCGGGAGGCGUUAUCGGAAGAAGAAGCCCCGGCUAACUCCGUGCCAGCAGCCGCGGUAAUAC